rnacentral:lncRNA from 1 species
AACUUAUAUUAAAGCAGAAAACUGUUUUGACAGCUACUAUAUUUGCGGUUCUCAGUAUCCAUGGCUCAAAACCAUCUCUAAGCCCAGUUCUAAGGUAUCCAACUCCCUUUUCUGGCCUCCCAGGGCACUGCACACACAUCCAUGUAGGCAAAACACUCAUACACUUAACAACCACCACAAAAACCAAAGCAGGGCCUGCGGGAUUGCUUAGCAGAGAAAAGUGCUGCUUGCAGGGUUGGGCAUUUAGCUCAGUGGCAGACUGCUUGCCCUGGGUUCGGUCCUCAACUCCAGGAAAAAAAAAAAAAA